CAACUCCAGCUGAGGUCCCAGAUUGACCUCUGGGGAUGGCUGCAAAGGAGGCAGAAGUCCCACAGGGCUUGAGGGGGGCGUCUCUAAUCUCCCUCCUUAACAUCUGUCACCAGCAAAUGGGACUCUCAUUAGGAAUGGGUCCUGCAUGGCCCCCGAGGAGUGCCGCGAAGGUAUCUAUGUCCUGACCUACGGUCCCGGCUUGAGUCUCCAGGUCAGCACAGCCUGUUGUGAGAGUGACUGCAGCCUGUCUACCCUACAAGAGGCAGAACCCGAAGCUCAGCCCAAUGGGGUGAAGUGUCGCUACUGUUCUGGGGAUAAGACGGCCCCGUGUGACUCCGUUUCGGUCAUGAACUGCACCGGGAACCAGACUAUGUGUCUCACCCCCAACGGGACACGGCAUGGAGGGGUUCCCCAGGUCCUGAAGGGCUGUGCUACCCUGGAGUUCUGCCAUCUGCAAGCAAACACCACCCUGGGCCCGGAAGCGUGUGGAUUUCAUCUCACUGCCAAGCCUGAAUGCAACUAUGUGGCUCCUCCCACCCAGUCAGGUG
rnacentral:lncRNA from 1 species